GGGAAUUUGAAAAGGAAACAGAGAAAAAGGGUCAACCAUAUAUAAACACCGUACAAAAAAAAGAAAGAAGAAUCAAACUCAAAUGAAAUGAAAUGAUACCAAUCACUUUCCAAUCCUUUAUCACAAGAUUCAGAAUCUUCACCUACCAUCACAAUUUUUCUUUAACUUCAUCUUAUUACUAUUAUUAUGAUGCAACCUCGUUCACUAAUUUAUCCAAUUAACACUAAUUUUCAACUCUUCUAUGCGUCGUGUAGUGUCUAACGUGCCGGCGAUUUUUCUGUCAACGUCGUGACGCAACCAAUUUGUUAGAUUUUUAUAUAUCUAUCUUUUUAUAAAACAAAUUCCAUAAACUGGAUCAAGAACUUCAACCAAUGGCUUCCGUCACUAUUCAUC
rnacentral:lncRNA from 1 species